GGGUGCUCUGAUGAGGUGUACAUGGGUGGUGCCAAGCGUAACAUUUGUAAAUGACUUGCAGAGCGUGGGGCCAGUAUUUCCAAAGGGAUCCUCGAUACUGCCCUUGCGGUUGGCGCUUAUGAGCAUAAUAUGGCUGUUUGUUGGGAAGAGGCUCGAGUUGUUGAACCUAUAUGGGAUAGCUUUGGUGUUGCUACCUUGGAGGCUGUCGAGAUUGUGAGGGGACAGCUCUCGCACGAUGUCAUCGGUGAUCUGCCGCCGAUGAAUUUGUCGAAUGCAUGGAGGUGCUGUGCCAUGAAUGGAAUUUGGCCCUAAAUUUUGUGUCGGGUCGUCAUGCCUCUUGGCUUUCCGCGUUGUC
rnacentral:lncRNA from 1 species